AUGGUAUUGUUGGGCGUCUGUGUGAUGCUCUCUUUUUCUUCUGAUUUUUUGGUAAACUAAACCAUCAGUAGCUGACUGCUUGGAGAGCGGUUUCUAGUUAUUUGAUUUUUUUUUUGAAAGAAUUCUUCGGACUUUUUUAAUCAGUGUCCUCCACGUCCAAUUAGGUCUCAAUUUCGUUGUCGAAGGAACUACGGAUUUGAUAUGAGAUGAGAGAUCAAAAUGAAUGUGAUCAUUGUCUUCUACAACGGAUAUAAGAGGGUAGCAUUAAUCGACCCAUUGUACGACCCCGACUCCAAAGCACAACCAAUUAAGUUUGAGAAAAUCAAGUUAGUGGCCUACUUUGGCUGCUUCGAAAAAGUAAAAAAAAUUUUUGAUAAAAUAAAUCAGUUUUAUAUUUUAUAUUUUUCUUUUUUGCGUUUCCAUGAGUUGAAUCACUUUCCCCUUAUUAUAUGUAUCUAUCUGAUUUUUUUUUUUGAAUAUAUAACGUUUCGAUCCAUGACUUCAGGGUUGUUACCUUUGGGCGUUUGUGUGAUGCUCCAUUUUUCUUCUGAUUUUUUGUGA